CUGUUCCUUUGGAAAAGCUGCUUGGUAUGUAGUGUUUAAUUCAGUAUUUUAAAGCCAUCCUUUUGUAGGCCCGUUCCACUUUAGCGAAAGUUACAACGCCUUGUGUGUGUUAGUUUAAAAAAAAAAGCAAAGUUUAUCGCCUGCCUCUCUCUCUCUCAGUAUCAGAAUAUUAGUAUUUUUAGGUGAAUAAAAUAGCCUAUUUUAGAGAUCUGUAGAGGGUAAGCUUGAAUGUGUUGUUAAUUUCAUGUGCCGUCAGGGUGAAUAGAUAUGAAAAGGAAUAAUUUGAUGAAAACAUCCAUGCUUUAGUAUUAUAAUUAUUUUAACAAUGAUGAAGUUUUAUUAUGGGAAUAGAACCCUGUUUUCUCCUUCUCUGCCACUUUUUUUGGUAUUAUGGAAUAUUCACAAUUUGAGAGAAGUCACUCCAUCACUAGAGUCAUCUUAUCUACAACCCCUAAGCGAAUUGCUUUUCCCACUAUCUAAUUUAUCCAAAGAACAUCUCCCUGGUCAGUAUUACAAGCCAUUUUUAUUAUUUUCCUACACUUGUUUAUUAAGCAUUUUGCACGUCAUGUUUUGUCAACAGGAAAGGAAAUGUCACAUCCAAUUUUUUCUUUCUUUUUUUCCUCUCCUGCUCUAUUACAAGAUUGAAAGCCUAAAGAACAAGAGUUCAAAUCUUGCUUGAAAUAUAGACACAUUUUUCUCAACCAGAGAAAUUCUGGAUUUACGUUUCAUUUUCUUGUGGAAAAAUUACUUUAAUUCAAUUUUGGAAAAACCCACACAUUUUACAUGUGCGACCUGUAAAUUUGUCCCUUGAUUUCAUUUAGGUGCUUGGCAAGAGUUCACAGAUUUUGCCAACAACUCUCAAAGAACUGCUUUAAUGGUCUAAUUGUUACAAUUUGGUAAUUAGCCAAAGUCGCAUUUCGAGGUGUGACCGAUAAGAUUUGGCAGUUAGCCAGUAUUUCAGAAAAUGGACUAGAGUCAUAGAGAUGCUACUAUUGUUCUCGUCUUCACGUUUAUACUUUUACUUUGGACUCCUGAGACAUACGGCUUUUGUGACUCUGCCACAACCUACUAUUCCCAACACAUCCCUGACAGCUGCAAGCAUCUUUGGGGAAGUGUCCCCCCAAGUUCCUGUUUCCAGUCAUUAAUGCAAAAGAAAGAAAAACGCUAGAGGCACUGAGAACCAUCCAACGCUUCAGCUGGCUUCAGCAAUUGCCACUUGCGCAAGACCCGUGUUUGUGAAAGCAACCCAAGAAUCUUUGAACAGGAUGUAAUCAACCUCCGAUCUGCUGAGAAACACUGCAAAAAUGACUUCCCCCUGCCAAAAAUAAUAAUGUCGUUUAUGAGCAGCCCUUCCAUGUCUAAGGAAGAAGUAGCCCCACGUGUGAGUUUCUGCUGGCUUCGGAGGAGCAGGCGAAGAAAAGGGCAAAUCCUACCAACCCCAGCCUAAAAUACACGGCAUCAGAACGCACGGCAAGCUGUGGCUCAUUCCAAACGUGCUGGCAAUAUCCGGGAAGACUCCUAUCCGCAAAAAUCCAAAGGAAUGAACCUGAAGACUGAAACUACAGCCGCUGUGUGGUGACCCGGAAGGGACAAGGGAGAGGACAAAGGCCUAUGAGGUAAGGAAGCUGGGCCAGACAGGCAGAAAGAACUUCAGGUAUUGACAGCCUCACUGAGUUGCCCACCCCGGACUUCCUGUUCUUGGAGAAAAAUAAAACCAUAAUUCAUACAGAAAGUGGACUUUUAAUUUUUUUUCAGAUGCGGGUGUUUGGGUGGAUGAUGGUAACAUUCAGACUCCAAUUCUGAUUUUUCCACUCCCCACUCCACACUUUUCAGUCUUUCCCCAAAACGUUUAGGAUAAAAUAUAAAUUGCUUAACUUAGUUCUCAGGGAUGUUUUAAAAUUUCCUUGCAAUUCACAUAUUUUUUAAAAAAGUUUUUAUUUAUUUAUUUUGAGAGACACAGAGACAGUGGGAGGAGCAGAAAGAGAGAAAGAGAGAGAGACAGAGAGGGAGAGAGAGAGAAUCCCAAGCGGGCUCCACACUAUCAGCACAGAGCCUGAUGCAGGGAUCAAACCCCUGAAGCCGUGAGAUCAUGACCUGAGCCAAAACCAAGAGUCGGAGGCUUAACCGACUGAACCCUCCCAGGAGCCCCAAUUACAAUUCACAUCUUAAUCUCGUCUCUGGUCACUCACCCACCCAGGUCCUUUCAUUGAAGCCACCUCCAGUGACCUGUACUGCAUGCACAGCCUGACUAUGUAGAAAGCCGUGGCUUUCCUCACAUUUCUUAUGCUAUUUUCCUGCGCCUUUUCUUUCUGCGUAGAACAUUCGUCAUUGUCUUCUGUGUUUAGCUAACUCUCCUUGAACUUCAAGGCUCGGAUCAGCUGCUCUUUCCUCCAGGAGGACGCUGGCCUUUCCAGUGCGGUUUAGGAUCUGGAGCACACGUUGUACAACUCUGCCUUCCCACGCUAUAACUCUAGGGUAACUGCUAUUUCACCCGUUUGCUUUUUCAAUUCAGCUUCAAGUUCCACAAAGUCAGGGAACAGAUUUCACCUGCACUUGUAUUAUUAGGACUUAGCCUACAAUAGGCAUUCAAUACAAUAUUUAACUAAAUAAAUGAUGGAAUGGAUAGAUCAAUAAAUUAUUCUUGAUCAGAGAGAGAAAGAAAGAUUUCAUGGAAUAAGUGCAUGGCUUGGAAUUAGACUCCUCACUCUUGAAGCAAGGUUAGAACUGAGACAGGCACAGAUUCAGGCACAGACCAAGGACCAAGUACAAAGGUCCCGAGUUCCUGAGUGAACAAAUGGUAGAUAAGAAGGCAGGAAUUCCAGGUGGACAAAGUUGAGUCAAAGCCAAGAGGCAAUAUGGUACAGAAUCUGUUUGACUAACUGUGAGGAGUCCACCUGGGCUGAGGCUUGGGAUGGAGGAAACCCAAAGGACCUUGAGUGACAGGCUUAGCAUGUUGGUUUGGGGUAUAUUAAGUGGAGGAGUUACAACACAAUCAAAGUUGCGAUUUUUUUUAUGAGACUUAAUUUUCCUUCUUGAUGAGUUUUGAUGGUAAUAGAAUGCUAUAGGAAUCUUGAAAGCAAACGUUUACAAAGAAAAGCGGGUGGGUGGGUUCCUACUUGGCACUCUCUGCAAGAAAAUUCUUCUUUUUUAAAGCUUAUGUAUUUAUUUUGAAAGGGGGGAGGAGCACAAGCAGGGGAGGCGUAGAGAGAGAGGGAGACAGAGGAUCCGAAGCGGGCUUGGUGCUGACAGCAGAGAGCCCCAUGCGGGCCUCGAACCCACAAACCGAGGUCAUGACCUGAGCUGAAGUCAGAUGCUUAACCAACCGAGCCACCCAGGCGCCCCAACUCUGCAAGAAAAUUCUUAAUGUCUUCUUUGCUCCUAAAGGGACAUCUUACUUUCUAGGUUCACUAUUAAAUUUAAUGUGUUAGAAGGGAAGAAGGAAGAGGAGGAGGGGUGUAGAAGUGUAUAAUCACACCUCAGAAUGAAGUGUUGGGGCUUCAGCUAGUUUAAAAAUUUGUCUGCAUGCUUAUACGAUCACUUGUAUUUUAAAUUCUUCCCAGGGCUUUGAAAAUGCAGAACCAUUGUGCUUAACAUCAGAGAUUGCUUCUAGAAGAUCUCUUAAGUAAUUCUUUUUUUAAAAAGUUUUUAAAAUAUUUAUUUAUUUUUGAGAGAGAAAGAGACAGAGCAAAAGUGGGGGAGGAACAGAGACAGAGGGAGAGACAGAAUCUGAAGCAGGCUCCAGGCUCUGAACUGUCAGGACAGAGCCCGACGCAGGGCUCAAACCUAUAAACCGUGAGAUCAUGACCUGAGCCAAAGUCGGAUGCUCAACCGACUGAGCCACCCAGGCGUGCCUAUCUCUUAAGUAAUUCUAAUAGCUCUAAUAUAAUAAGGAUAUUUAAUUCAUUUGAUGUUUUCAUUAUUAAAAUAUUUGAUUAUAUGUGGUGUAUAUCCUCAUAUGUCAGAUUACGUGAUCUGGUGCUUUCAAGUCAUCAACAACGAUUUGGCUCUAACCGAGCUGGUGGCACCCAGGGAGAUGAUCUUGGGUAAAUUCAUCUCUUUUUUGCUCUUCACAGGGUUUGAUUUUGUUCUUCUAUGCCAUUUGCAAAUGAUGAGCCCUCUUCCUCUGCUUUGGAACUCAUGUCCCAUGAUCUGCAAGAAACAUUUUUUUAACGUUCAUUUAUUUUUAUUUUUGAGAAAGAGACAGAAUGUGAGCGGGAUGUCAGAAUGUCAGAGAGAGAGAGAGAGAGAGAGAGAGAGAGAGAGAGAGAGAAUCCGAAGCAGGCUCCAGGCUCUGAGCUGUCAGCACAGAGCCCGAUGCGGGGCUCGAACCUACAAACUGUGAGAUCAUGACCUGAACUGAAGUCGAAUGAUUAACCAACUGAGCCACCCAGGCCCUCCUGCAAGGAUUAUUUUUAAAAAACUAUUUGCAAACAGAUUUUUGGGGGGUGUUUGGGGGGAGGUGCUUCCAAUGAUUAACACCUGAACAACAGAAUAGAAAGCCCAAACUGGUCUCGUAUUCCUUCUGGGCUUUAAGGUCUCAAACCCUUCAUAGGUGUCCAAUGAUACUCUUUUGACUAUGUGAAUGUAAGGACCUCCCUGUAGAAGCAAGCAAGAGAAAUGGUAUAGUCAUAGUUACUUGUGAGUUUAGUCCUAUUUUAAAAACAUUUUAAAAACAAAUCAAAGAAUACAAAAUCAACAGUAUUCAAUUAUUUUUGCUCUCUAUUGAAACUGUAGAUUCUCAGGGGCGCCUAGGUGGCUCAGUCGGUUAAGCGUCUGACUUUGGCUCAGGUCAUGAUCUCACAGUUCGUGAGUUCGAGCCCCGUGUCGGGCUCUGUGCUGACAGCUCAGAGCCUGGAGCCUGCUUCACAUUCUGUGUCUCCCUCUCUCUGCCCCUUCCCUGCUCAUGCUCUGUCUCUGUCUCAAACAUAAAUAAACAUUAAAAAAAAAUAAAAAAUAAACAGAAACUGUAGAUUCUCCUUUGUAAGUGGAUUAGAAUAUUCCUGACUUCAGGAACUGAGCCCAUUAUAUACUGUAUAAUCUAUUUAUAGUACCUAAUAUGGUGUUCUAUACUAAAUAAAUUCCUAGAGUAAUAUUUCUAAAUAAAUAAAUUUUAAAAAAUAUUAAGGACAUUAAUCUACUCAGAUUUUGCUGUUAUUAGGAUUUUUUGUCACCAGACACUGACUAUAUAAAAAAAAAAUCAGUGUUUAAAAGGAUUUACUAAUUGUAAUAGUGUAUCAUUUAAAGUGUAUUCUAUCUUCCUGUGUAGACAGCCUAGUUAAGCUUGAUCAUGUCCCUGGGCUUAUCACUAGAGAACAGGCAGAGACAUUAAUGCUAAUGUAAAAUAUAAUGAAGAAGUUUUUUGUUUUGUUUUGGUUUUGCAUAUAUUUCAUUGAGGUAUAGGGAGAGCUUGAAGAGAUUAAAGGGAAGAAAUUGCUUACAAGUUAUUUUCACUGCAAUUGUUGGACACCGGAGUAGAGAGAAAAUGUUGGAAUGCCAUAGCAUUCUCUCUCAACACCGCAGCUGGACCCUAGUGAUUUUUGCAGGAGAAGGUGAUUAAAGGCACUGAUGAACGAGGAGGCAUCCCGUCAGGCUUAGUUGGAACGAGACUGAUUUGGAAGAACUGAGGGGUAAAACAGAGAACUAUGAGGCUGUGAAGGCAGGGAAGCAUUUCUCCAAACACACUUGGCCAUUGGUUCAAAGACAAGUUGAAAGACUUUGCAAAAGUGCAUGUUACUAAGCAUUUCUUACAAAGUAACCAUGCCCAGGGGCUCACACAGCCGUCUACGCCCAUAAAAUAUUGUAUAUGUCAUCUACGCUAUGCAUUAACGUAGGAAAAAGGCAUGAUGAGUGUUUAGAAAAAUGCACAGACAUUACACGAAGAUAUAUAUUUCUCCAAAAUGGAGCUUAUUUUAUUUGAGAUACUUUCGGACUACCUACAAGCUACUUUAAUGAGAUUGCUUUCUGAAGGCAACAAGUUCAAUAAAUCAUUCUGCUUUUCUCCAGUCUUUUCAUCCUGCAUGUGCAAUUUUAACCAUGAUGGAAGGAGACUCUCUGGUCCAAAAAACUCAACAUAUUUCUUAUCCACAGACACAGGUAAGUGGAAACAACCGUUCUUCCGUGUCGGCAUUAGUCAUUGUGAUCUGUUUUUAACUUGUUGCAGAGUCAAAUAACACUGGUACGUGUCAUAAAAUGUCUCCAAAUAUUCCUGGGCUUGUUCAUUUGCUUCAAGCACAUAAAGAGGCAAAUGUUAAAGCAAUGUGUUCUGAUCAAGAAACAGCUGGAAAUGGCAGCUGCCUGAUACGGAGCAAUCAAGAAUGGAAGGUUUAUUUUGGACGAGAGGUGUUGUCCAACUGUGAGACUGAGUGAUUGCAGCUGAGAAUAAGUGCAAACACAAUCAAUAGUGGCUCCAGGUCUGAACUCAUUGAGAACCUGUCUCGUGUCAUGUCUUUUUCUGCUGCCACAGUCACACUACAUCCGUAGACGCCGAUACUAUCCGUGGAGGAGGUAAAAAGUUCUUCAGUUUAUUCUUAUUCUUAAGGACAGCUUCUGAGCCAUCAUGAUUUGAAAUUACAAUGACCAAAAGGCUCCUUCAGAAAAAAAGAAACAAUAUAUUCCAAAGUCAAAUUGUACAACGGGCAGGUAAGAAUGCCUCAACUUUAAAUGGUCUUGGGUGGGCAUUGCCUCAAGAGCCAGCCAAGUUGUUCUCUGCUUUCUGGAGUUGUAUGACUAUGGGCGAAGUGAUUUCAUUCUUCCCGGUCCCUAACAGUGUUGUUAUUUUAUCAAUACAGACCGUAGAAGCAGCUCAAUAAAUAUUUUCUGUUGAACAAUCUAUAAUCGCGACAUUUGAUAUUGAAUUUCAAUACUACUUCAGCAUAACCUGAUUGAAUUCAACUCCACUUCAACACAAAUAUAUUGUUCAAAAUAUGUGUUUCGUUAUGCCUCAUUAUUUAUAGUCAUACUUCAUGUAUCACACACAGAUAUAUCACAGACACAUAAAGACAGACACGUAACUACGUAAGAAAUAUUCCUCAAACGUAUGCUUUGUGGAGGAUAUCUUAAUAAUAGCAUUUUUUAAAAUAAAAAUCUUUCUCCUGUUUAUAUUACAAAAAUGACCACUUGAUGGUUCAUAAAUCUUUCCCUUCUUUCCUUCCUGCCUAUAUCUGUGUAAGGCCUUGAUGGGCCAAUCACCACAUGGAAUACAAACACGGAUAAAAUAAAGUUCCUGACCUCGGUGGGGAUUAACAUUCACUUGUUCCUUCACCCGAUCUUUCCCAGCUAGCAUUCUCAUUAGACGCUUUCAGUUAAAAACACAAAAACAAGAACAAACAGGGGCGCCUGGAUGGCGCAGUCGGUUAAGCGUCCGACUUCGGCCAGGUCACGAUCUCGCGGUCCGUGAGUUCGAGCCCCGCGUCAGGCUCUGGGCUGAUGGCUCAGAGCCUGGAGCCUGUUUCCGAUUCUGUGUCUCCCUCUCUCUCGGCCCCUCCCCCAUUCAUGCUCUGUCUCUCUCUGUCCCAAAAAUAAA